UAUUUGCGUUAGGGAUUGUAGUGGAAAUCCUUUUGCAUUUUGGCAAAAGAUUGUAGCGUAAAGCCCGACCCUUG
rnacentral:sRNA from 1 species